rnacentral:rRNA from 1 species
GACGAACGCUGGCGGCGUGCUUAACACAUGCAAGUCGAACGGAAAGGCCUGCUUUCCCUUGUGGAUUGCGGGUACUCGCGUGGCGAACGGGUGAGUAACACGUGAGUGAUCUGCCCCCAACUUGGGUAUAAGCCUGGGAAACUGGGUCUAAUUCCCGAUAGGACUGCAGGGUGGUGCCUGUGGUGGAAAACGAUUUUCUAGUGGUUGGGGAUGAGCUCGCGGCCUAUCAGCUUGUUGGUGGGGUAAUGGCCUACCAAGGCGGCGACGGGUAGCCGGCCUGAGAGGGUGGACGGCCACAUUGGGACUGAGAUACGGCCCAGACUCCUACGGGAGGCAGCAGUGGGGAAUAGUGCACAAUGGGCGGAAGCCUGAUGCAGCGACGCCGCGUGGGGGAUGACGGCCUUCGGGUUGUAAACUCCUUUCGACCGCGAGGAAGCCACCUGGUUGGAAGGGUGGUGACGGUAGUGGUAGAAGAAGCACCGGCUAACUACGUG